GACGAACGCUGGCGGCGUGCUUAACACAUGCAAGUCGUACGGUAAGGCCCUUUCGGGGGUACACGAGUGGCGAACGGGUGAGUAACACGUGAGUAACCUGCCCACAACUUUGGGAUAACGCUAGGAAACUGGUGCUAAUACUGGAUAUGUGCUCCUGCUGCAUGGUGGGGGUUGGAAAGCUCCGGCGGUUGUGGAUGGACUCGCGGCCUAUCAGCUUGUUGGUGGGGUAGUGGCCUACCAAGGCGGCGACGGGUAGCCGGCCUGAGAGGGUGACCGGCCACAUUGGGACUGAGAUACGGCCCAGACUCCGACGGGAGGCAGCAGUGGGGAAUAUUGCACAAUGGGCGCAAGCCGGAUGCAGCAACGCCGCGUGCGGGAUGACGGCCUUCGGGUUGGAAACCGCUUUCAGCAGGGACGAAGCUUUUUGUGACGGUACCUGCAGAAGAAGCACCGGCUAACUACGUG
rnacentral:rRNA from 1 species